AUGAACGCUGGCGGCGUGCUUCACACAUGCAAGUCGAACGGAAAGGCCCAAGCUUGCUUGGGUACUCGAGUGGCGAACGGGUGAGUAACACGUGGGUGAUCUGCCCUGCACUUCGGGAUAAGCCUGGGAAACUGGGUCUAAUACCGGAUAGGACCACUUCUUGGAUGUUGUGGUGGAAAGUUUUUUCGGUGUGGGAUGAGCUCGCGGCCUAUCAGCUUGUUGGUGGGGUAAUGGCCUACCAAGGCGUCGACGGGUAGCCGGCCUGAGAGGGUGUACGGCCACAUUGGGACUGAGAUACGGCCCAGACGCCUACGGGAGGCAGCAGUGGGGAAUAUUGCACAAUGGGCGCAAGCCUGAUGCAGCGACGCCGCGUGGGGGAUGACGGCCUUCGGGUUGUAAACUCCUUUCGCUAGGGACGAAGCGUUUUGUGACGGUACCUGGAGAAGAAGCACCGGCUAACUACGUG
rnacentral:rRNA from 1 species